UACGGAGGGUGCAAGCGUUAUCCGGAUUCACUGGGUUUAAAGGGUGCGUAGGAGGGCAGGUAAGUCAGUGGUGAAAUCCCCGAGCUUAACUUGGGAACUGCCGUUGAUACUAUCUGUCUUGAAUAUUGUGGAGGUAAGCGGAAUAUGUCAUGUAGCGGUGAAAUGCUUAGAUAUGACAUAGAACACCAAUUGCGAAGGCAGCUUGCUACACAGCUAUUGACACUGAUGCACGAAAGCGUGGGGAGCAAACAGG
rnacentral:rRNA from 1 species